UACGUAGGGUGCGAGCGUUAAUCGGAAUUACUGGGCGUAAAGCGUGCGUAGGCGGUUCGCUGUGUCCGAUGUGAAAGCCCCGGGCUUAACCUGGGAAUGGCAUUGGAAACUGGCGGGCUUGAGUGCGGCAGAGGGGGGUGGAAUUCCGCGUGUAGCAGUGAAAUGCGUAGAGAUGCGGAGGAACACCGAUGGCGAAGGCAGCCCCCUGGGUCGACACUGACGCUCAGGCACGAAGGCCAGGGGAGCAAACGGG
rnacentral:rRNA from 1 species